UACGUAGGGUGCGAGCGUUAAUCGGAAUUACUGGGCGUAAAGCGUGCGCAGGCGGUUUUGUAAGCCAGAUGUGAAAUCCCCGGGCUUAACCUGGGAAUGGCAUUUGGGACUGCAAGGCUGGAGUACGGCAGAGGAGACUGGAAUUCCUGGUGUAGCAGUGAAAUGCGUAGAGAUCCGGAGGAACACCGACGGCGCAGGCAGCGUCCUGGCCGCUUGCUGACACUGAGGCACGAAAGCUGGGGGAGCAAACAGG
rnacentral:rRNA from 1 species